rnacentral:lncRNA from 1 species
CUUCUUCCUCUCGAUCACUUUCAGAUUCCCAUUCACCAUUGUCAUUCACAAUCAUGGUCCUCCUAAUAGAACAUUGUGUAGCAAUAUGUCCAAGACCAUGGCACUUGUGGCACAUAAUUUCUCUACUACGUGCAGAGGAAGUAGUAGCUGAGGAAACAACAGUUGGCGCUGCUACACUUGUAGCAGGUCGCUGCUGAUAUGCAGGGGAUG